rnacentral:rRNA from 1 species
GACAGAGGUGCCGAGCGUUAGGCGGAAUCAUUGGGCGUAAAGCGCGUGUAGGCGGUCCGGUAAGUCCGCUGUGAAAGUCGGGGGCUCAACCCUCGGAUGCCGGUGGAUACUGUCGGGCUUGAGUACGGAAGAGGCGAGUGGAAUUCCUGGUGUAGCGGUGAAAUGCGCAGAUAUCAGGAGGAACACCAAUUGCGAAGGCAGCUCGCUGGGACGUUACUGACGCUGAGACGCGAAAGCGUGGGGAGCAAACAGG